rnacentral:lncRNA from 1 species
GGGGAACCUGGGCUGUUAACCCAGAAUGAGGUGUCCUAUUAAUGCACAAUCAAUUCCUAGUAGUAAGUUCCCGGUGACGUCAGGUACAGGAGCGCUCCGCAGCCAGUGUUUCCUCCCCGUGCCUAGGUUGCACCCAGGUGGGCUUGGCAGAGGGACUGAGUGCUCAGGCUGGUGGGUUUGGGCUCCACGCGCUUGGCUGUU